rnacentral:rRNA from 1 species
GACAGAGGGUGCAAACGUUGUUCGGAAUUACUGGGCGUAAAGCGAGUGUAGGCGGUUUGGUAAGUCGGAUGUGAAAGCCCCGGGCUCAACCCGGGAAGUGCACUCGAUACUGCCAAGCUAGAGUAUCGGAGAGGUUGGUGGAAUUCUCGGUGUAGAGGUGAAAUUCGUAGAUAUCGAGAGGAACACCGGUGGCGAAGGCGGCCAACUGGACGAAUACUGACGCUGGAGGAGCGAAAGCAUGGGGAGCGAACAGG